CUGAAGGAUACCCUGAGCAGCAGCCUGGGGAGGAUGCUUGUGAGAGCAGAACGGGUUUUGCCUACCCAUUGAGGAGAAUGGAAAGAUGAUGGUAUGUGCAAGCCAUAAAUGAGGACUCAUCACCGCGUUUCCCAAAGGCUUGCUUGACCUCCAGCCUGGAUGGAGACAUCCAUGGGGUGGGAGAUUGGACCACGCAGCCAGGACCAUCCCAGGUGUGGGCAUUGGGUCUUCAGCCAAAUGCGUCGAAUGGAGCCAAGCAUGGUGAGGGACCAGGGAAAGGACAACAUCGUGCAUCGAGGCUCAGCUCUACCGCUGUAAUGAAAGAUUAAAGUAAUGAACUAAGAGAGAUUCAGUAUUUGGCAGAGCCUAUGGAGAAGUGAUAUUUGACUGGCCCCCAGCUCACAGGCACACCCAAAUAAAUAGCAUUGUUUAUAAGGACUGAAAAUUAAAAAUUAAGGGCUGCGAUUUUCAAAGCUCCCCAAGGAGCCCUCACAUUGAGCUCCCAUAAAAAAUGAACAGCAUGAAAUCCCAUCCUUACCUUUCUCUGGGGAGAUAAAAAAAAAAAAAAAGAGCUAUUUAUUGUGCAAUCAAUUGCAGAAAAUCAUAUACUAAAGAAAUCCCAGGUAAUUUCACUGCUAUGGAGAGUUUAAUGUAGCAAUAAAUCUGGUAAAUAUAGUGCCUACCAUUUGAGUAGGAGAAAAGACCGUAAAAUUCAGCAAAUUAGCCAACACGUUGCAAAGUAAUUUUGCUUCUUAUUAUCUGUUGGGAGUUGCAGGCCAACAAGUUGAAUUCUUUUACUCUUGUUUGAAUUUUAAGUCAUUUUCGCCUUUAGGUGAAAAACAAAAGCCUCCCAACCUUCGGGGCUUUACAGAGGUGUAAAUCAGAGAUCAAACCAGUGGUACCAUCAGAAUCCAUUACAGAUAAGAGUUCCCAAGAAAAGGGUUGGUUUGGCAGAGCUGUGGGUCACAACACCAGGCAUGUCAACAGCACGCUUAUCCCGAAUCAGUGAUCUUGCCACGGUACAAGGAAUUAGAAGAGGAAAUCUCUUUAGGCUGCUUCUCUGGUUUGAAACUACUUCUAUGAUUUUAUUUAUUUCUGAUCAUCCCUGGUCCAAAAUGAUGGACUUCAGGCUCUGAAGGCUUAUUCUCAUGGAGAGUCAAGGAGAAGGGCAAAAAUGUAGCAUAGGAUUCCACCAACAGGCCAGACACAUUUUCCUUGGGGCUGAAGAGUAUAGGCCACCCUUACUCCUCUCAGAGAGCAGUUUGCAGAGCUCAUUAUAUAUGUGAUACAGAGCAUUUUUCUCACCAAUUGCUUCUCUAAGCUUUCCUUGGAUCAUCAGGACAUGGUCCCGCUGCCUCUUCUCCAUUGAAGGCAGUAGGUGGUCCCCAGCUCUUCCUGGCAGAUAAGUAAGGAUUUUACCUAAGGAACAGCUCUUGCAGAACCCAACAAGUGAGAAUUGCCCCUGGUAGACAGCCACAGGAUCUCCCACCCUCAUCAUCUUCACAGUGCUCAAGGGAGAGAUACUGACCUUCCAACCAAUACAGUGCCCAGGAGGUCACUGAGGUCAAAAGCCAAUAGAAUUACUCACCAACCUCACCAUAAAACCAAACCCUAGAUCUUCCCACAAGCCACAUCCCCCUGUGCCAUGUGUGUACUCCAUGUGCUGAGCAGGACUGCUUUGCAGAGCUGGAAAACAUCAGGCAACCUCCAGUGUAACAUCAGUGAUGAGUGGGAGGAGAGUAACACACGGCCUACUCACAUCCCACACCACAACCAUUGGCUCCACCAUCAACACAAGGCUUCAUCAACACAAGGCUUCAUCAACACAAGGCUCCACCAUCAGCAGUGUUUUAUUCACUCAUUGCUUUCCUGUGGGCAAGCACUUUGCACAGUCAAGGUCUGGAGGGGCUGAGACCCCAAAGGCUCUUGCAGGCCCCGCUCAUUGGGCCACCAUGUGUACCUCUGAGGCCCACGCUCGUGGCUGGUGGCCAUGUCCUGUUACACAUGGCUGUGUCCCCCUCUAGUGGCGUGUCCCAGCCAGCACAUGGAGCCGGACACACUCACUCUUGGCGUGGUCACCACAAAUUCAGGACCUCGGCCAUCCCAUGAGAGGACAGACCCGCUCUUGAUUUCGAAAUGGUGGUGACCAUAAGAGCUCUGAGAUGAUGUGGUUAUCUGGGAAUGCACUGAACACGCAGGGAUUGAGGUCUGUUCUUAGAGAUGUAUCUCACCAAAGUAUUUUUCAAUGUGUAACAAAAAUUGAACGUACACAGAGAACAAUGUGGUCCUUUCCAUUAUGUGAUGCCCCACCAGUGGUGAAAGAAGAAGUGUAAUCAGAGCUCGAUCAGAUAAUAGCAGUUACAAUUGGCUACCUAAUUGGAAACGCAUAUAACGUAAUUAAUAGGAGCACCUCAAGUCAGGGGUUGGGCUCAGUGAUCUUUGUGGGUCCCUUCCAAAUUGGGAUGUUCUAUGACCUAUGACUCUAAGACAAAACUCAGUGAGCCGCAGACAUCUCCCUAGAUCUACAUUCAGCAAGUACUGAGUAGCAUGAAAGAGUGCUUGUUUGGAUUUAACUGCAGGUGUGAAUCAGGGCUGAGAGAUGUGUGGGACAGCAGUAGGAGAUAAAUUGUUUUCUCCAACACUUUAUUAUAAACUGAGGUCCCCAGACUGGAUGUCCCUGUAAACACAGCAUCAGCGUCCAACCUCUCCUGCACCUCUGGAGAGGCAGUGUUUGGAAAUCAGAGCUCUGCUUAUAUUGCAGUUUUCUUGAAAAUUAGAAUUUUCCCCAAGCAACAGAAAACAGAAAUAUGAAAAAAGAUAUAUAUAUAAAGAAAUUACCCAAAAAAUGUACUUUGAGGGGGAAAAAGUAGAAAUGAGAACUUUUAACUCUUCU
rnacentral:lncRNA from 1 species